CCACCCCCAACUGAUGGUCUCCCAUUACCCCACCACUGCUUGUCCCAUUACCCCCACCCUACUGGUGAAGUCCCUUCCGUGAGAAAACAUAACAAGAACAUCGAUUUUUCCGCAGCCACAAAGCACACAAGGAACGUGCCUUCCAACUCUUCUAGAAAUCGAGAUAACUACGGGAGCGAAUAAUCAAAAUAGUUAAUGAGAGUCUCUUAAUAUAAAAUAAAGUACUAAUUUGUUGGAGAAAAAUUAGCAAAACCAACCACAAUAAUAGUGGUACCAUUCGUAAAAUCAAAGCGCUUUAGUUGAAAAAAAGUCUGUCCUUCGCUUCAUGCUUCUCUCUUUGGUGAAACAAGCCCUUGUCACUCUCUAAAACACUGCUCUUCCAGCAUUGCCAUUUCCUAUGAAAUAACUAUAAGCCUGGGUUACAGCUUCUGGUGGUCAAUGGCUCGGACUGGGUCGACUUUUCAUAAUUUAAAAGCUUUGAUUCCAAAUUUGCCGAUGGUGGUGCUUGUUAUAGUUGUUGAAAGUGUCUCCAGAACUACUCUUUUGAAGGCUCUCUGUUGAUUUCUUUUGUAAGAAUGUGAUCAAGAUUAAAGAACGUGUUGUUGAAGAAUUGUGGAGCUAGCUGAAAAGAAAAUUAUAUUUUUAUUGUUGGUGCAGAUCUAGGGACGUUUUAACCUAUGCAGCUAUUUCAUUUUCUCAAAUUUUAGGAUUCGAUAGAUGUCGAACAUGUCUGUUUUAUAAUAUUAUGUCGAACAAAUAUGUUAUGUAGAUCUUAUGUUAAACAUGUAUGUUUUUUAGAUAUUGUGUUGAACACCGAUUA